rnacentral:rRNA from 1 species
UAGGGAAUCUUCCGCAAUGGACGAAAGUCUGACGGAGCAACGCCGCGUGAGUGAAGAAGGAUUUCGGUUCGUAAAACUCUGUUGUUAGGGAAGAAAAAAUGUAUAGUAACUAUAUACAAAAGAGACGGUACCUAACCAGAAAGCCACGGCUAACUACGUGCCAGCAGCCGCGGUAAUACGUAGGUGGCAAGCGUUGUCCGGAAUUAUUGGGCGUAAAGCGCGCGCAGGUGGUCCUUCAAGUCGGUGGUUAAAGGCUACGGCUCAACCGUAGUAAGCCGCCGAAACUGGAGGACUUGAGUGCAGGAGAGGAAAGUGGAAUUCCCAGUGUAGCGGUGAAAUGCGUAGAUAUUGGGAGGAACACCAGUAGCGAAGGCGGCUUUCUGGACUGCAACUGACACUGAGGCACGAAAGCGUGGGGAGCGAACAGG